GGAUAGAAGGAGGGAGGGAAGAAGGGAGAGAGGAAGAGAGAGAGGGAAAAAGGGACCUGGGAGAAAGCUGUGAUGAUUUCUUAGGGGAAAUAUGUAAAGCAGAGAAGAGAGUGUAAGUCAUUUCCAAAAAAAAAAAAAAAAAAAAAAAAAAAAAAAAAAAGGCAAGUCGUCCUGACAGUUGUGUUGGUUCUUGCUUGAGUAAACAAAAUGUUAAGUCAACAAUUAAUAAUUGUAGCUAACUAUGUUCAAUUUAAAGAAACGAAUUUAUUUCAAUUAAAUACCCCAAAGAAAAAUC
rnacentral:lncRNA from 1 species